rnacentral:rRNA from 1 species
GACGAACGCUGGCGGCGUGCUUAACACAUGCAAGUCGAACGGAAAGGCCCUGCUUUUGUGGGGUUCUCGAGUGGCGAACGGGUGAGUAACACGUGAGUAACCUGCCCUUGACUUUGGGAUAACUUCAGGAAACUGGGGCUAAUACCGGAUAGGAGCUCCUGCUGCAUGGUGGGGGUUGGAAAGUUUCGGCGGUUGGGGAUGGACUCGCGGCUUAUCAGCUUGUUGGUGGGGUAGUGGCUUACCAAGGCUUUGACGGGUAGCCGGCCUGAGAGGGUGACCGGCCACAUUGGGACUGAGAUACGGCCCAGACUCCUACGGGAGGCAGCAGUGGGGAAUAUUGCACAAUGGGCGGAAGCCUGAUGCAGCAACGCCGCGUGCGGGAUGACGGCCUUCGGGUUGUAAACCGCUUUCGCCUGUGCCGAAGCGUGAGUGACGGUAAUGGGUAAAGAAGCACCGGCUAACUACGUG